AGUGGCUCAUUCACCGACUUAUGUCAGCCCCUUCGGGACGUGCUACAUAAAAUUCGAAUGACGCACAACAAGGUGCCUGCCGUCCAACUUCUGAUAUCAGCGUAGCUAUAUCAACCAUCGGGCGAAACGUCGAGUUAGGCACCGCCU
rnacentral:sRNA from 1 species